GAUGAACGCUGGCGGCCUGCCUAAUACAUGCAAGUCGAGCGAACAGACGAGGAGCUUUCUCCUCUGACUUUAGCGGCGGAUGGGUGCGUAACACGUGGAUAACCUACCUAUAAGACUGGGAUCACUUCGGGAAACCGGAGCUCAUACCGGAUAAUAAAUUGAACCGCAUGGUUCAAUAGUGAAAGACGGUUUUGCUGUCACUUAUAGAUGGAUCCGCGCCGCAUUAGCUAGUUGGUAAGGUAACGGCUUACCAAGGCAACGAUGCGUAGCCGACCUGAGAUGGUGAUCGACCACACUGGAACUGAGACACGGUCCAGACUCCGACGGGAGGCAGCAGUAGGGAAUCUUCGGAAAUGGGCGAAAGCCUGACGGAGCAACGCCGCGUGAGUGAUGAAGGUCUUCGGAUCGUAAAACUCUGUUAUUAGGGAAGAACAGAUGUGUAAGUAACUAUGCACGUCCUGACGGUACCUAAUCAGAAGGCCACGGCUAGCUACGUG
rnacentral:rRNA from 1 species